rnacentral:rRNA from 1 species
GACGUAGGGGGCCAGCGUUGUUCGGAAUUACUGGGUGUAAAGGGUUCGUAGGCGGUGCGGCAAGUCGGGAGUGAAAUCUCUGGGCUUAACCCAGAGGCUGCUUCCGAAACUGCUGUGCUUGAGUGUGGGAGAGGCGCGUGGAAUUGCAGGUGUAGCGGUGAAAUGCGUAGAUAUCGGGAGGAACACCGGUGGCGAAGGCGGCGACCUGGGUAGAUACUGACGCUGAGGUGCGAAAGCGUGGGGAGCAAACAGG